UACGUAGGGUGCAAGCGUUGUCCGGAAUUAUUGGGCGUAAAGAGCUUGUAGGCGGUUUGUCGCGUCUGCUGUGAAAAUCCGGGGCUCAACCCCGGACUUGCAGUGGGUACGGGCAGACUAGAGUGUGGUAGGGGAGACUGGAAUUCCUGGUGUAGCGGUGAAAUGCGCAGAUACUCAGGAGGAACACCGAUGGCGAAGGCAGGUCUCUGGGCAUUAACUGACGCUGAGGAGCGAAAGCAUGGGGAGCGAAUGGG
rnacentral:rRNA from 1 species